AUGGAAGAUGUGCAAGCUGCAUCACUAAGUCAAACGGUCACAAAUGAACAGAUUGCAAGUUCACAACAAGACAUUAAAGAUCCAAUCACAUGCAAAGAACAAAUGUUAGGUGAGCUUCAAGAUAAAGCUCAAAGCAUGUCAGACUUACCAAGACGUUCUGAAAGAGUUAAAGUACAAACUGAAAAGAUGCUAACAUACCGAAAGGAAGAAUUGAGCCAAAAGGAAAGGAGACUAACAACUCUUUAUGAACAAUGGAAAAUGCAAGUUCGAGAAACAAGAGAAAAGCUAAAGACAGAUAUCACAGACGAAGAGAUGUCAGAACUUGCAGACAUAAUAGAACAAAGGAGAGACAAUAUAUUGACGUUCUAUUCAGAAAUGAGAAGCCAAACGGCACCAGCAUCUGACAUAAGGAGAAAGAUUGAUGCAUGUGAAGCAGUAACUCAUGAAGUCGUAAGAAUAAUUCUGGAGAGAAUAAGUGGUGUUGAUGGAGAUUUUGAUGCAGAGCGUGAAAGAACUCGUUUACGUGGACUUUUACAGCGUGACUAUGCCUUGUCCAUAUAUGGCUCGACCGCGGCAUCAAACCACAGCCAACGAUCCUCAGCUUCACAGCUUACCGCAAAGCGAGCCGAAGCAGCAGCGGAAUUAGCAGCAAAAGAGGCAGAAUAUGAGGUUGUAUUAGAGGAACAAAGACAAAGAGAAAGGAUAAAGGCUCUAGAGGAGGAGCACAAGGAAAAAAUGGCAGCGCAAAAUUCAGAGCUGGAACGCUUAAGAGCGCAGAAGGAAGUAAAAGCAGCUCGAGCCAGGUUGGAAGCAUAUGAUAGAGAGUUAUCACUGGUGGAGGAUGAACAGUCAAUAAAAGGCGAACCAGUUAGCCCAAACUUCACACCCAAACAGCCCAUACCAGCGCUCCCCUUCAUUCCUGUGCAAACAGCUCACUCGGAUGUCUCUGAGCUAGCACAAGCAGUGCAAGACAGCAUAAAAAUGAACAAACUUCCCACGCCAGAACCAACAGUGUUUAGUGGUGAUCCAAUAAAUUUCAUAGAGUGGAAAUCCACAUUCAUGUCCCUGAUUGAACGAAAGGGCCUCUCAGCUGCAGAUAAAAUGUACUACUUAAAAAGAUAUGUAACUGGGUCGGCUCGCAAAUGUCUUGAAGGAACUUUCUUCAGAAACGAUGAAGAGGCAUACAAAGAUGCUUGGGAUAAACUAAACCAAAGAUACGGUCAACCUUUCAUGAUACAAAAGGCAUUUAGAGAGAAGCUAGCGAAUUGGCCAAAGGUGCAGUCCAGAGACGCUGAUGGAUUAAGGAACCUUGCAGAUUUCAUAAAUGCAUGCAAGCUUGCUAUGCCUCACGUAAAGGGACUACAAAUACUCAACGACUGCGAAGAAAACCAAAGAUUGUUGCACAAACUACCGGACUGGAUAAAUGCAAGAUGGAAUAGACAGGUAACAAAAACUUUGAUGGAGGGUGGUGAGUUUCCAAGUUUUUGUGAUUUUGCUUCCUUCCUCUCAUUAGAAGCGGAAGUUGCUUGCAACCCAGUCACCUCCAUUCACGCACUUCGCCGCACUGAAACAAAUAUUGAUAAAAGGAGUACAAGGGUAAUCAGUGGCAGUAAAGCAGGUGUAUUUAACACAAAUGCAACUGUACAAAGUGACAAACGGACAAUAACAAAGACACCUAACAGUUCUCCAUGCAUGUUGUGCCAGGAUGUACAUCAGCUUCACAAAUGCCCAGACUUCUUAAAGAUGUCUCUAGAAAAUAGAAAGAAAUAUGUGAGAGACAAUAAACUUUGUUAUGGCUGUCUGAAACAAGGACACAGUGCUAAGGACUGCAGACGCCGCCUCACUUGCGAAACCUGCACAAAGAGACAUCCUGUGUGUCUUCAUGAUGAAAACUACAGUAACGGUUUGCAAAGACAAACACAUGGGAGUACGGAGAAUGCAAAUCAAGGUAACUCACCUGAAACUGCUACAGCCAUGUCACUUAAUGUUGCCAGAUCAGAACAGACCGUCAGCACCUCAAUGAUAGUCCCAGUAUGGCUGUCAACCACCACCAAUCCACUCAAGGAAAAAUUGGUCUAUGCAUUAUUAGACACUCAGAGCGAUGCUGUCUUUGUGGAUCAGGAUGUAACGCAGGAGCUGCAGGCAGAUGUUUGUCCAGUAAAACUGAAAUUGACUACCAUGAUGGGUAAAAAUGCUGUCGUAAGUAGUGGAAGGGUGUCUGAUCUUUUGGUGAGAGGUUACAACUCAGCCACAGUCAUAAAGCUCCCCACGGCAUACUCCAAGGAUUGCUUACCUGCUAACAGGGAGCACAUACCCACAUGUGAAACAGCCAAACAGUGGAGUCAUCUACUGCCUAUUGUAGAUGAGAUCCCUCCACUCCUCAGUUGUGAAGUGGGUCUCCUUAUAGGUUACACCUGUCCCAGGGCUCUUGCACCUAAACGAAUAAUCUUAGGAAAAGAUGGUGAGCCCUAUGCUAUUCGCACGGACUUAGGAUGGAGCAUAGUAGGCAACGCAGCGCUUUGCAAUGAAACGGAUAUAGACAGCAGCCUCUGCCACAGAGUCACAGUUAAAGAAAUCCCUCACUCCACUCCAGCAGAUGCAAUACUUGCUCUGGAAAGAGAUUUCAAAGAGACGGACAGAAACGAAAAGACUGUAUCACAAGAGGAUUUAAUAUUCCUCCAGAAGCUUAAGCAAGGCAUAAUACAGACGGAAACAGGACAUUUGGAGAUGCCAUUGCCAUUUAGAGAAAAGCCACAAAUGCCAGAUAACAGACAACUUGCUGAAACCAGACUAAACCAGCUCAAACGCAAACUCAUGAAAGACGAAAAAUACAAGGAGGAUUACAGGAAAUACAUGAAUGACAUCAUUGAAAGAGGUGAUGCAGAAGAGACUGAUGAUAUCGGACUCCCUGGCAAGACAUGGUACAUACCACACCAUGGCAUCUAUCAUCCAAAGAAACCUGACAGGUUACGUGUGGUCUUCGACUGUUCCGCCAAACACAAAGGUACCUGUCUUAAUGAACAUUUACUGAUUGGCCCCGACAUGAUCAACAGUCUUAUGGGUGUUCUUGUGCGCUUCAGACAGCACCAAAUAGCGCUGAUGUGUGACAUCGAGAAAAUGUUCCACCAGUUUCAAGUCAAAGAAAGCGAUCGCAAUUACUUGCGCUUCUUAUGGUGGAAAGAUGGUGACAUAAACAGCCAACCGCAAGCGUACAGGAUGACAGUUCAUCUCUUUGGCGCUGUUUCGUCACCUGGUUGUGCGAACUAUGGACUGAAACAUUUAGCCAAAGAGAACAGCCUUGCAUAUCCAGCGGGCUCACGGUUCAUAACAAGAGACUUCUACGUAGAUGACGGCGUCACCAGCGCAGAGACAGUCAAGGAUGCUAUACAACUGGCAAAAGAAGCACGUGAAUUGUGUGCAAAGGGUGGAUUAAGGUUACACAAGUUUGUGUCCAACAACAUCAACGUUCUGAAUAGUAUUCCGACCUCAGAGCAUGCCACAGAUACAAAAACAAAGGACUUGACAUUUAAUGAAGCACAGACUGAAAGAGCACUUGGCAUUUACUGGAACGUGGAGGAAGAUUGCUUCACGUUCAACAUCGCACUAAAAGACCAACCACCAACCCGGCGGGGCAUCCUAUCCACAGUUGCGGCAAUAUAUGACCCCCUUGGAUUCAUAGCUCCUUACGUGCUCAAUGGCAAAGGAAUCCUCCAAGAAAUGUGCCGCCAAGGAACGAAUUGGGACGACCCGAUACCAGAGCAUCUCAGGCCACGGUGGGAGCGCUGGAAGGGAGAUCUUCACAAUUUGAGAAAAUUACAAAUAAGCAGAUGUUAUGUUCCUGCAGAUUUUGGAGAUGUGGUGAAAAGAGAAUUACAUCACUUUUCUGACGCAAGCACCACAGGAUAUGGAGAAUGUUCUUAUCUCAGACUCUUAAACAAAGACAAGGAAGUUCAUUGUGCCUUCAUUAUGGGCAAAGCACGUGUCUCACCCACAAAAAUCACCACAAUCCCAAGGCUGGAACUUACCGCAGCCACAGUGUCAGUCACCGUGAGCAACAUGCUGAGAGAGGAACUACUUUAUGACAAUGUCGAAGAGUUCUUUUGGACUGACUCUAAAGUGACUCUAGGAUACCUAAAUAAUGAGGCAAGGCGUUUUCACACCUUUGUCGCGAAUAGAGUGCAGAAAAUCCGCAACAAUACCACACCACAACAAUGGUUUCAUGUGCCUACUGCCGAAAACCCAGCAGACAUGGCUUCCAGGGGCAUGUCAGUAAACGAACUACUCUCAUCCAAUUGGCUUACUGGCCCUAAAUUCCUAUGGGAAAGAGAAAUACAACACCCACCAAAGGAAAAUAUUGAACUCCUAGUAGGAGACCCAGAAGUGAAAAGGGUGCAGACACUAAGUACACAAACUGCUGAACAUGCAAGCCUUAGUGACCGCCUCAGAAAGUUCUCAUCCUGGUCCCGCGCAGUCAGUGCAGUAGCACGUCUCAGACGAUACCUGCUUAAAGACAAAUCAAACACGAUCACCACUGUGACAGAAAGACAAAAUGCAGAAACUGUCAUUAUCAAGGACUUACAGAGACAAGCAUAUCAAAAUGAAAUAGAUACACUAAACAAAGGCAAACAACUAUCAAAGAACAACAAAAUGCACAACUUGGAUGUUUUCUUGGACAAAGAUAAUGUGCUUAAGGUGGGAGGAAGACUACGGCAUUCAUCCCUCCCAAAUUCAUUCAAACAUCCAACCAUCAUUCCCAGAGAACAUCACAUCGCAAAACUGAUAAUUGCCCAAUGCCACGAAAGGGUCAGUCAUCAAGGAAAAGGCUUCACGAUGAAUGAGAUACGAUCCAGUGGGUAUUGGAUUCCAAGGUUAAGCCAAAAGGUUGCAUCCUAUAUUCGCCAGUGUGUGUUUUGUCGUAGACAAAGGAGACCUGUGGAAGGACAAAAAAUGAAAGAUCUACCCACAGAGAGAAUUGAACACACUCCACCCUUCACAUACUGUGGUAUGGACGUUUUUGGGCCGUUCCUGACCAAACAAGCACGGAAAGAACACAAAAGGUACGGCCUCCUUUUCACAUGCUUCUAUUCACGUGCAGUCCAUGUUGAAAUGUUAGAGGAUCUGUCAACAGAUACUUUUAUAAAUGGACUCAGAUGUUUCAUUGCCAUAAGAGGCUCAGUCAGACAAAUAAAAUGUGAUCAGGGUACCAACUUUAUAGGUGCCAAAAAUGAGCUGAACACAGCACAAAGUGGAAUGGACGCUGACAGACUGACAACCUUCCUUGCAGAAAAACAAUGUGAAUUCAUCCUAAACACACCUCAUGCUAGUCACGCAGGUGGAGUGUGGGAACGACAAAUACGAACUGUAAGAAAUGUUCUUAAUGCAACAUUGGCUCUCACACCCGGUCGGCUCACUGAUUCUUCCCUCAGAACCUUCUUCUAUGAAGCAGCUGCAAUAGUAAACAGCCGCCCCCUAACAACAGACAAUCUCAAUGAUCCACAAAGUUUGGAGCCACUUACUCCAAACCAUCUUGUCACAAUGAAAACCUCAACGGCUCCGCCUCCCCCCGGACAGUUCGUUAAAGCGGACUUGUAUGCACGCAAACGAUGGCGUCAAAUACAGUACUUACUCGAGCAGUUCUGGAGCAGAUGGAGACAGGAGUACCUUCAAAACAUUAUGACCAGACAAAAAUGGAACACACCUAAAAGGAACAUGCAAAUAGGUGACAUAGUAAUGGACAAAGAUGACAUGCAACCUCGAUCCCAAUGGAAGCUUGGCCGAAUCUUGGACACUGUAGAAGAUACAGAUGGACUUGUCAGAAAGGUUAAAAUAGCCUUUGCUGACAGAAAUCUUACCAAAGGAGGUCAGCGUGUGAAUAAAAUGUCAGUGGUAGAACGUCCAGUUCAUAAGUUAGUUCUGCUGCUGGAAGAUAGUGGAAUGUAA
ensembl:lncRNA